ACUCCUACGGGAGGCAGCAGUGGGGAAUAUUGGACAAUGGGCGCAAGCCUGAUCCAGCCAUACCGCGUGGGUGAAGAAGGCCUUCGGGUUGUAAAGCCCUUUUGUUGGGAAAGAAAUCCAGCUGGCUAAUACCCGGUUGGGAUGACGGUACCCAAAGAAUAAGCACCGGCUAACUUCGUGCCAGCAGCCGCGGUAAUACGAAGGGUGCAAGCGUUACUCGGAAUUACUGGGCGUAAAGCGUGCGUAGGUGGUCGUUUAAGUCCGUUGUGAAAGCCCUGGGCUCAACCUGGGAACUGCAGUGGAUACUGGGCGACUAGAAUGUGGUAGAGGGUAGCGGAAUUCCUGGUGUAGCAGUGAAAUGCGUAGAGAUCAGGAGGAACAUCCAUGGCGAAGGCAGCUACCUGGACCAACAUUGACACUGAGGCACGAAAGCGUGGGGAGCAAACAGGAUUAGAUACCCUGGUAGGCGU
rnacentral:rRNA from 1 species